UAUUUUGAAAUUGGAUGCAAUGGACGA
rnacentral:sRNA from 1 species